rnacentral:rRNA from 1 species
UACGUAGGGGUGCGAGCGUUAAUCGGAAUUACUGGGCGUAAAGCGUGCGCAGGCGGUGAUGUAAGACAGAUGUGAAAUCCCCGGGCUCAACCUGGGAACUGCAUUUGUGACUGCAUCGCUGGAGUGCGGCAGAGGGGGAUGGAAUUCCGCGUGUAGCAGUGAAAUGCGUAGAUAUGCGGAGGAACACCGAUGGCGAAGGCAAUCCCCUGGGCCUGCACUGACGCUCAUGCACGAAAGCGUGGGGAGCAAACAGG